UACGGAGGGGGCCAGCGUUGUUCGGAAUCAUUGGGCGUAAAGGGCGCGUAGGCGGCUUUGUAAGUCCGUUGUGAAAUCCCUCGGCUCAACCGAGGAACUGCGAUGGAUACUGCUCGGCUUGAGUCCCGGAGAGGGUAGCGGAAUUCCCAGUGUAGCGGUGAAAUGCGUAGAUAUUGGGAGGAACAUCGGUGGCGAAGGCGGCUACCUGGACGGGUACUGACGCUGAUGCGCGAAAGCUAGGGGAGCAAACAGG
rnacentral:rRNA from 1 species